ACCUAAGUGGCUCUGUCAGUAGAGCGUCUGACUGCAGCUCAGGUCAUGAUCUCACAGCUUGUGAGUUCGAUCCCCACUUUGGGCU
rnacentral:tRNA from 1 species